rnacentral:rRNA from 1 species
CCUACGGGCGGCAGUAGUGAGGAAUAUUGGUCAAUGGACGAGAGUCUGAACCAGCCAAGUAGCGUGAAGGAUGACUGCCCUAUGGGUUGUAAACUUCUUUUAUAUGGGAAUAAAAUGUUCCACGUGUGGGAUUUUGUAUGUACCAUAUGAAUAAGGAUCGGCUAACUCCGUGCCAGCAGCCGCGGUAAUACGGAGGAUCCGAGCGUUAUCCGGAUUUAUUGGGUUUAAAGGGAGCGUAGGUGGAUUGUUAAGUCAGUUGUGAAAGUUUGCGGCUCAACCGUAAAAUUGCAGUUGAAACUGGCAGUCUUGAGUACAGUAGAGGUGGGCGGAAUUCGUGGUGUAGCGGUGAAAUGCUUAGAUAUCACGAAGAACUCCGAUUGCGAAGGCAGUUCACUGGACUGCAACUGACACUGAGGCUCGAAAGUGUGGGUAUCAAACAGGAUUAGAUACCCGUGUAGUC